rnacentral:rRNA from 1 species
UACGGGGGGAGCAAGCGUUGUUCGGAUUUACUGGGCGUAAAGGGCGCGUAGGCGGCCACCGCAAGUCGACUGUGAAAUCUCCGGGCUUAACCCGGAAAGGUCAGCCGAUACUGCGGGGCUAGAGUGCAGAAGGGGCAACUGGAAUUCUCGGUGUAGCGGUGAAAUGCGUAGAUAUCAAGAGGAACACCUGAGGUGAAGACGGGUUGCUGGGCUGACACUGACGCUGAGGCGCGAAAGCUAGGGGAGCGAACGGG